UGGGAAUUGAACACACAUCUCUUACAUCUCUUGCACUGGCAGGUUUGCCAGAGUUAGCUGAAUUUCUAAACAUAGUGCUCAUUCAAUCAGGGAAAGACCAAAAGAAAACCUCAAUCAACAACUAUGUCUCAUCAGUCAUUUGCUAGAUGGAAUUGGAGUUAAUAUAUGAAUAAAACAGCUUUUGGAAUUAUACUCUAUUGAUGUGAAUGAGAACAAGAUGGGAAAAUAACAUGUGUUCACAGAUAAUGAGACUCUUGUUAUCCUUGGGGAGAUUGAUCUGUCAAUAUAAAUAAGCAAACGCUGGGAAAGAGCCUAGUGCAAAGCCAAACUAGGCAUAGGAUGAUACUGAGCUUAAAUCCAAGAAGACAGUUGCCAUUUUCAGAAGGACACUGCAAGAGGAGCUCUGGGUGAUCAGGAAUCUGUAAUGCUAAUAUUCCAGCUAUUUGUUGAACUUUCAUUUUCUAAACGCAAAAAGUAUUAAACAGCACAAAAAAUAUUUGAUCCUGGAAAUGCUAUGUUGUCUACAUUAGUUAGUUCAUU